rnacentral:ncRNA from 1 species
UUAAACGCAAUGAAGAGAAGAGUAGAUUACAUGAUUCUAUACAGAGAGCUCUGUUAGCUGAAAAGGAGCAAGAAUAGUGUAAUCGAAACAAGCCUCCGAGCUGUACAUUGGAGCCGAAUGUGGUGAUGGUGUAACGGGUGCUCCCGUUAUAGAGCUUAGGGUAUAAGCAGUUCAUGCCGUACCCGAUAAGAGUGAUGUGGCGACACAUGACUAAACUGGGGUGGCACCGCGAUAAGUAAUCUCGCCCCCAGG